rnacentral:rRNA from 1 species
UGGGGAAUCUUGCGCAAUGGGCGAAAGCCUGACGCAGCAACGCCGCGUGUGUGAUGAAGGUCUUCGGAUCGUAAAGCACUGUCGCGAGGGACGAAUAAGCCUUUGGCUAACAUCCAGGGGCGAUGACGGUACCUCGAGAGGAAGCACCGGCUAACUCUGUGCCAGCAGCCGCGGUAAUACAGAGGGUGCGAGCGUUGUUCUGAAUUAUUGGGCGUAAAGCGCGUGUAGGCGGCUUAGCAAGUUGGGUGUGAAAGCCCUCGGCUUAACCGAGGAAGUGCGCCCAAAACUGCUUGGCUUGAGUACCGGAGAGGGUGGCGGAAUUCCCGGUGUAGAGGUGAAAUUCGUAGAUAUCGGGAGGAACACCAGCGGCGAAGGCGGCCACCUGGACGGAUACUGACGCUGAGACGCGAAAGCGUGGGGAGCAAACAGG